UACGAAGGGGGCUAGCGUUGUUCGGAAUAACUGGGCGUAAAGCGCACGUAGGCGGAUUGUUAAGUCAGAGGUGAAAUCCCGGGGCUCAACCCCGGAACUGCCUUUGAUACUGGCAAUCUUGAGUCCGAGAGAGGUGAGUGGAAUUCCGAGUGUAGAGGUGAAAUUCGUAGAUAUUCGGAGGAACACCAGUGGCGAAGUCGGCUCACUGGCUCGGUACUGACGCUGAGGUGCGAAAGCAUGGGGAGCAAACAGG
rnacentral:rRNA from 1 species